rnacentral:rRNA from 1 species
UCGAGAAUUUUUCUCAAUGGGGGAAACCCUGAAGGAGCGACGCCGCGUGGAGGAUGAAGGUCUUCGGAUUGUAAACUCCUGUCAUUUGGGAACAAGGUGCAGCGGUUAACUGCCGGUGCAUUGAUAGUACCAGAAGAGGAAGAGACGGCUAACUCUGUGCCAGCAGCCGCGGUAAUACAGAGGUCUCAAGCGUUGUUCGGAUUCAUUGGGCGUAAAGGGUGCGUAGGCGGCGCGGUAAGUCGGGUGUGAAAUUUCGGAGCUUAACUCCGAAACUGCAUUCGAUACUGCCGUGCUUGAGGACUGGAGAGGAGACUGGAAUUUACGGUGUAGCAGUGAAAUGCGUAGAUAUCGUAAGGAAGACCAGUGGCGAAGGCGGGUCUCUGGACAGUUCCUGACGCUGAGGCACGAAGGCCAGGGGAGCAAACGG